UACGUAGGAGGCAAGCGUUGUCCGGAAUUACUGGGCGUAAAGCGCGUGUAGGUGGUGGGACAAGUCUGCUGUGAAAGCGCCUGGCUUAACCGGGCGAGGUCGGCGAAACUGUCCGACUCGAGGACGGUAGAGGGGGUGGAAUUCCCGGUGUAGUGGUGAAAUGCGUAGAUAUCUGGAGGAACACCGGUGGCGAAGGCGGCAUCCUGGACCGGCAUUGACGCUGAGGCGCGAAAGCCAGGGGAGCAAACGGG
rnacentral:rRNA from 1 species